CGUAGGGCGCAAGCGUUGUCCGGAAUUAUUGGGCGUAAAGAGCUCGUAGGCGGUCUGUCACGUCUGCCGUGAAAACCCGAGGCUUAACCUCGUGGCUUGCGGUGGAUACGGGCAGACUAGAGGUAGGUAGGGGAGAAUGGAAUUCCCGGUGUAGCGGUGAAAUGCGCAGAUAUCGGGAGGAACACCGGUGGCGAAGGCGGUUCUCUGGGCCUUACCUGACGCUGAGGAGCGAAAGCGUGGGGAGCGAACAGGAUUAGAUACCCUGGUAGUCCACGCCGUAAACGUUGGGCGCUAGGUGUGGGGUUCUUCCACGGACUCCGUGCCGUAGCUAACGCAUUAAGCGCCCCGCCUGGGGAGUACGGCCGCAAGGCUA
rnacentral:rRNA from 1 species